AUUUAUAUAGUUUAACUAAAACUUUACAUUUUCAUUGUAAAAAUAGAACUCAUUCUUAUAAAUA
rnacentral:tRNA from 1 species